UACGUAGGGGGCGAGCGUUGUCCGGAGUUACUGGGCGUAAAGCGCACGCAGGCGGUCUGUUAAGUUUGGAGUGACAGUUGGUGGCUCAACCACCAAAGUGCUUUGAAAACUGAUAGACUUGAGGGCUUCAGAGGGACACGGAAUUCCGGGUGGAGUGGUGAAAUGCGUAGAGAUCCGGAGGAACACCAAAGGCGAAGGCAGUGUCCUGGGGAGUACCUG
rnacentral:rRNA from 1 species